rnacentral:rRNA from 1 species
GCCCCAGUAACGGCGAGUGAAGCGGCAACAGCUCAAAUUUGAAAUCAGGCCCUCGGGUCCGAGUUGUAAUUUGCAGAGGAAGCAUUGGGCGCGGCGCCUUCCGAGUUCCCUGGAACGGGACGCCACAGAGGGUGAGAGCCCCGUCUGGUUGGCCGCUAAGCCUGUGUAAUGCUCCUUCGACGAGUCGAGUAGUUUGGGAAUGCUGCUCUAAAUGGGAGGUAUAUGUCUUCUAAAGCUAAAUACCGGCCAGAGACCGAUAGCGCACAAGUAGAGUGAUCGAAAGAUGAAAAGCACUUUGAAAAGAGAGUUAAAAAGCACGUGAAAUUGUUGAAAGGGAAGCGCUUGUGACCAGACUUGGGCUCGGCGGAUCAUCCCGGGGUCUCCCCAGGUGCACUCCGUCGGGCCUAGGCCAGCAUCAGCUCGCCGCGGGGGAUAAAAGUUCCGGGAACGUGGCUCCCUCCGGGGAGUGUUAUAGCCCGGUUCACAAUGCCCUGCGCGCGGGCUGAGGUUCGCGCAUCACGCAUGGAUGCUGGCGUAAUGGUCACCAGUGACCCGUCUUGAAACACGGACCAAGGAGUCGUCCUCGUAUGCGAGUGUUCGGGUGAUUAAACCCCUACGCGGAAUGAAAGUGAACGCAGGUGAGAGCUUCGGCGCAUCACCGACCGAUCCUGAUGUUUUCGGAUGGAUUCGAGUAAGAGCAUACGGGGCCCGGACCCGAAAGAAGGUGAACUAUGCCUGUGUAGGGUGAAGCCAGAGGAAACUCUGGUAGAGGCUCGCAGCGGUUCUGACGUGCAAAUCGAUCGUCAAACAUGGGCAUGGGAGCGAAAGACUAA